ACACUGGUGGUUCAGAGAUAAAACUCUUGCCUUCCGUGCAGGGGACCCAGCUUCAAUUCCUAGCCAAUGCG
rnacentral:tRNA from 1 species